GCGCCCAUAGCUCAAUUGGAUAGAGCGUCAGACUACGGAUCUGAAGGCUGAGAGUUCGAAUCUUUCUGGGCGCGCCA
rnacentral:tRNA from 2 species